GAUGAACGCUGGCGGCGUGCUUAACACAUGCAAGUCGAACGGAAAGGCUCCUGCUUGCGGGGGUACUCGAGUGGCGAACGGGUGAGUAACACGUGGGUGAUCUGCCCUGCACUUCGGGAUAAGCCUGGGAAACUGGGUCUAAUACCGGAUAGGACCACAUUUUGGAUGGUGUGGUGGAAAGUUUUUCGGUGUGGGAUGAGCUCGCGGCCUAUCAGCUUGUUGGUGGGGUAAUGGCCUACCAAGGCGUCGACGGGUAGCCGGCCUGAGAGGGUGUACGGCCACAUUGGGACUGAGAUACGGCCCAGACUCCUACGGGAGGCAGCAGUGGGGAAUAUUGCACAAUGGGCGGAAGCCUGAUGCAGCGACGCCGCGUGGGGGAUGACGGCCUUCGGGUUGUAAACUCCUUUCGCUAGGGACGAAGCGCAAGUGACGGUACCUGGAGAAGAAGCACCGGCUAACUACGUG
rnacentral:rRNA from 1 species